rnacentral:lncRNA from 1 species
AUGAGUUAGCUUAACUUUAGAGGAUGGUUAGGUUAGUUGGUGGAGAAUUUAAAUAACUUAGAUUAUCCAACACUUAAAUCCUUUCAUCUUCACUUUCAAGAGCUAGAGAGAGAGAGAGAGCAAGAGAGAAUAUAAUAGAGAGAGAGAGAAAGCAGGAGCAGAAGAAGGAAGGAAAAGAGGAUCAAGGUCAUUAUCUUUAAUCACCUAGAAGAGAACUACAAGGGUAAGCCAUGAAAACCCUAACUUCUAUUUCAUUAUUUAAAGUUUUAUUUUGAGUAAUUUUUGGUGGUUAUUGUUGUUAAUGGAAGAUUAUGAAGGAUCUUAGAGUUAUAAGGUUGGUGUGGUAUAUAACCUUGUAAACUAUUGGUAAUAUGCAUGAAAAGUGGAACAAAAGAAAUAAAAAUGUAAGCCUAUGCUUAAAGGAUGGAAAACCUAAUUAGUGGACUGUUAUAUGGACUUAAAUUAAUAAUGGACCAAAGCUUGAAAUGAAAAUAUGGAAAGAUAGGUUUGUACUUCAAUGAGUUACGAAGUCAUCUCAAGUGGAACAAAAGAAAAAUACGUUGUAACGAAGCCAUGGCGAAUUUUUAAGUAAAAAUAGUUAAAAGUUAGAAAACGGAAUUUGUGUUACCCUCGACCCUUGAGCAGUUUUCUUUUCCAAAUGGUUUGUUGGAAUUUUUUUUCAUUUUGGGGGUUAUGUAGUAGGUUAAGUAAAGAGUCAGUGGACGUAAGAAUGAACACAUUCUGAGUCCGGAGGUAGGAGAUAUGCCCUUUCGAAGGAGACUAGUCAAAAUUGUCAAAAUUGGAAAACUUUUUCGGAUAGGGACUUUGUGCCACUAUUUUAGCUUGACAAUGAACUUAAAAAAGAUUUCAUCCGGGGGGAUUUGUAUUAAAUUUAACAAAGAAGAAAAUGACGUGAGAACGGACUAGUUCAGAUAACAGAUGACCGAGUUAUGACGUUGCAAAGUAGGUGUGACGAUAACGAAAAACUGCUUGAUUUUAGUUUCAGGUACAGUAAGUUUUGAACUAAAGUAGAUACUUCAUCGCUAGUUUAACCUGUCUGGAUUGGCAGAUAGAGAGUUUAAAGCUAAAACAGACAGGUUAAGCUGUCUGCUUUAUACUUGUAACGAAAAAUGAAAAAUAAAGUUGGACGCAUUGAUUAAAUCAUAAAUCGCAAACAAUAGGAAAUGGAAUAAAGUUAAUGUAAGCCAACAAUUAACGUCUUUAUGUGACUAAUUGGUAUGUGUAUAUGAACUUAAAUGUGAAGGAAAUUUGAAGGACGAGUAAAGUAAGCAGUAAAGAACGCUCAAGGCAAAUUUCCUAAACUUACUCGAAUUUUAUUGAAUCAGUUUCUAACUUGUUUAAUUUGUGAUAUUAAGAAAGUUUUCUAAUUUCAUUCAAAUGUUGAAUUGAAUGUAAAUAUUUAUUGAUCUUGUACAUAUUAUUUUUUGUGCAAGGCAUGUGUUUAAAC